rnacentral:rRNA from 1 species
AAAUUGAAGAGUUUGAUCAUGGCUCAGAUUGAACGCUGGCGGCAGGCCUAACACAUGCAAGUCGAACGGUAGCACAGAGAGCUUGCUCUCGGGUGACGAGUGGCGGACGGGUGAGUAAUGUCUGGGAAACUGCCCGAUGGAGGGGGAUAACUACUGGAAACGGUAGCUAAUACCGCAUAACGUCGCAAGACCAAAGUGGGGGACCUUCGGGCCUCACACCAUCGGAUGUGCCCAGAUGGGAUUAGCUAGUAGGUGGGGUAACGGCUCACCUAGGCGACGAUCCCUAGCUGGUCUGAGAGGAUGA